rnacentral:misc_RNA from 1 species
AACGCACCUUGCGCCCUUUGGUAUUCCGAAGGGCAUGCCUGUUUGAGUGUCAUGAAAACAUCAUCCCCCCGGGUUUCCGGUGGUGAUGGACUUGGGUGCUGCCAGUCAUGGCUCGCCUUAAAAGCCUUAGUGGUUCCAUGUUGAAUCUGGCGUAAUACGUUUCGCUGGCCUAGACGGAAGACUGCUUCUAACCUGUCUACUAGACAUUUUUUGCUCUGACCUCAAAUCAGGUAGGACUACCCGCUGAACUUAA